GAUGAACGCUAGCUACAGGCUUAACACAUGCAAGUCGAGGGGAAACGAUAUUGGAAGCUUGCUUCUGAUAGGCGUCGACCGGCGCACGGGUGAGUAACGCGUAUCCAACCUGCCCAUCACUUGGGGAUAACCUUGCGAAAGUAAGACUAAUACCCAAUGAUAUCUCUAGAAGACAUCUGAAAGAGAUUAAAGAUUUAUCGGUGAUGGAUGGGGAUGCGUCUGAUUAGCUUGUUGGCGGGGUAACGGCCCACCAAGGCGACGAUCAGUAGGGGUUCUGAGAGGAAGGUCCCCCACAUUGGAACUGAGACACGGUCCAAAACUCCUACGGGAGGCAGCAGUGAGGAAUAUUGGUCAAUGGACGAGAGUCUGAACCAGCCAAGUAGCGUGCAGGAUGACGGCCCUAUGGGUUGUAAACUGCUUUUAUAAGGGAAUAAAGUGAGUCUCGUGAGACUUUUUGCAUGUACCUUAUGAAUAAGGACCGGCUAAUUCCGUGCCAG
rnacentral:rRNA from 1 species